rnacentral:rRNA from 1 species
UACAGAGGGGGCAAGCGUUGUUCGGAAUUACUGGGCGUAAAGGGCGCGUAGGCGGCCUGUUAAGUCGAACGUGAAAUCCCCGGGCUCAACCCGGGAACUGCGUCCGAUACUGGCAGGCUUGAAUCCGGGAGAGGGAUGCGGAAUUCCAGGUGUAGCGGUGAAAUGCGUAGAUAUCUGGAGGAACACCGGUGGCGAAGGCAGAUCUCUGGGCCGUAACUGACGCUGAGGAGCGAAAGCAUGGGGAGCGAACAGG